rnacentral:rRNA from 1 species
UACAGAGGGGGCAAGCGUUGUUCGGAAUUACUGGGCGUAAAGGGCGCGUAGGCGGCACUGUUAGUCAGGCGUGAAAGUCCUGGGCUCAACCUGGGAACUGCGCUUGAUACGGCAGAGCUAGAGGAUGGAAGAGGGUCGCGGAAUUCCCAGUGUAGAGGUGAAAUUCGUAGAUAUUGGGAAGAACACCGGUGGCGAAGGCGGCGACCUGGUCCAUUACUGACGCUGAGGCGCGACAGCGUGGGGAGCAAACAGG